rnacentral:lncRNA from 1 species
UCCAUUCGUGUUUAGUGAUGUUUCAUCUUCCGAAAAUAUUAAAAUUAACUGUCAGUAUAUAUGUGUACAUCCUGUCAGUAAAUUCAAGUGUCGAGUGCCUCGCGUAUAAGAGUAUUUAACAGCAAUCGAUGACGUCUUUCGUCUUACCCAGCGUUCGGACGACUUAACGGCCACCGGUCAACGUGCUCUCAAGUUUUUCGUUCCGAAGGGGGAAUCAUAAGCAGAGGUUAGGAGAGUCGUUGCUGCUGCCAUUUUCUUCCCUUUUGGGGAGCUGCGUUCUCAACAAGAGCACUGAUCUCGGGGAUCUUAACAAACCCCAGACCUGCGGAUGAUUGUGGGACAAUGAACGUUGACGCUAUCACGCCUGCUGACGAGAAAUGUAAAUACAGAAGGAGACUUUGUGCCCAACCGUUUGUUCAAGGAAUUCCCACAUGAGUCGGUGAGAGAACAAUUCUCUAGUUUCUUCUGGAAACGAAUUCUUACGACUAGUCUUGCAAUUACCAUUCGGCCCCCUUUCGUGCUGGAGGGUUAUUGUCUGCAAAGAGAUGUCGCAAUUGUUUAUUUUUGCCGAUGCACUGGCGCUUAUACAUAUUUUUUGAGCUUGCUCUAAAUAUCUAUAUUGACAUCGGUUGAGAAAAGUAGGCUUGGUUUUAUACGAUCAGUGGAUUUGUUCUCUGAUGUAUUAUUUUAAAUAUUUCAUGUACUAUUUAGAGAAGGAGUGAUAUUCUAGACAUUUAUUAUUAAGUACAAUUCGAAGUAGAAUUGAAGGAACGAAGAGGAAUAUCGUCUGAGAAAUAUCAAAGAAAAAUUAUUUUGAAUACUUUUUCCUUUCUUUAUCGUAGCAUUUAACAUUGUGACCGGUAUUAAUUAUUCGCGGGUUUUGAUGGCCGAAUAAUUAAUUGUUACCAGUUGAAAUAGGGAGAUAACACGGUAUGAAGUACAAAAACAAAUUUUUGAAAUAUUCUUCCUCGGACCAUAUUCUUUGAUUUCGGGAUCAAUGUUAAUUGCGGGAAUUAUCGGCAGAUGCAAGUGCACAAAUAAUAAUUAAUCCUUGCGAUUAAGAACAGCGAGAAAACACUGCGAGAUACGUGAAAAUAAAUUUCUUGAACGUCUCUUUUGAAACGCAUUGCACGAUAUCGCGGUGAAUAUUAAUUAUUAAGAGGAAUUAUCGACGCAAAUCGGUGAAUAAAUAAUUAUUAUUUCUCAUUAAUUGGUCGCGAGUGUUGUUCUGUUUCAAUAUCAGAGAUAAAUGCUUGAAUAUGUUUCAUUUAUUUUUCUCACAUGAUCGCGUAUUUUAAAACCAGACAUAUCGAGGUGUCGUUUCUUCGUCUUUCGUCCGGAAAUGUUUACGCCUCGUGGAAAGAUGUUCUUGAAUUUUAAUUAGCGUAAUUACCAUACGAUGGCUUGUUUUACUUAUCGGCGGCACACCGAUAACUCUUCCAACGUUAAUGCCGCCAUUAUUGUAUUUACAAUAUACAGGCAUUCAACGGGUAUCGCACAAAAUAUUGGAAAUGGAUAGACUAGUGGAGGAUGAGACGUAAGUUUUAAGUUGCGCAACCGUUUACCUCCAUUCGAUUCGCGAAAUUUCGGCCACGCGAAUUAUCCAAUUGGCGGACGCGUAUAAUCUGAAUCUACUUGUUCCAUUGUCUUGCCGACUGUACUUAUUCUAUUGUCCGUAUAUACACGUACGAAUUCUACUCGAACAAGUGGAAUUGGGCCGCGCGCCUCGGCCUUGGGACUGCUGGAAAAUAUCCAUUUGCGGUUUAGCCAGAAUGACGUGAGAUGACAAAUCAGUGGAAAUAAUUAUCGGCGUUUAUGGGUGUUAACCGUGCCGAGCGGAAGCGUAGCUGAAAUCAAUCGUCGCCGUUUAAAGCAACCUUGAGAACGACCGGGAACCGUCCGGCCCUAGGUUCGAGACGCACUUACUCCCUGGACUCGCGCAUUCACGUGGAUAACGAUCGAACGCACAUUUAUAUGGAUUACGAAACGCAGACUUGACCUCCGUCGCGUCCACGCACCGAAGAGGCCGACUUCCGCGUUGCGUGGGAUAUCUUUGAGGUUUAAUUUCUUCUUCUCUUGGCCGAACGUCCAGAAGGCCGUAGCUCGUGCACUCGAAUUUUUGAUCGGUUAUAGCUUUCUCUCUCUCGCGGUCCUUCGGAACGUUCGACCCGACGAAACGCAUCGUUUCGAUUUCGCGCUCAUCCUCGGAAUGCCCGAUGCUAGUACGCGUAUGACGUCGCCGAGGACGGCCACACCGAACGGUUGAAUAAUUGCCGCGCUAACGCGUGCCGUUUGCCUCGCGACGCUCGCAUUUG